AAGCUGCCCUCAGGCAGGUAGGGAGCGCGCGACUGCUCCUUUAGGCCAGCUCUCUGGAGGCGGAAGCCGGGCCUGGACACCAGCCUCAAACUGGACGCUUAAGGCGCCACCGACCUGCGACGGGCAAGGGCUGCUUGGAGCCCGCGCGGCGGCAUGUUAGAAUUCCUCUUCCUUGUUGAAGUCCUAUGGUGAAAGGAAAUUCAUUUGGAGGUUUGGCGUGCGAAUCAAGGCCUAGGUUGUGUUCAAUGAAAAUGCUACAAAUCGAAUUUUAUAGACUGCUACAGGCACAAUAGUAACAUUGCCAGAUGGGAAUGGAAAAACUGUCAAGUGUAUAAAAAAUUAAGUUUUCCUUGAGGUUGGUGGUAUUCAGAUAAUUAUUUUUUCUGCUCCUUGCAACAUUAGUAAAAAACAUUUUAGUAUAAAGCAAAUAUACAACUAUUUACAUAAAAGAAAGAGGCAGAAUAGGAAAGAGAAGAAACAAGACUCCUCCAAAAAACUAUCAAAAAAAUAACUGAUUUAUUUGGUAUCCAACAAAUAACAAUAUUGCUGGACCUAAUGAAGAGAUGGAACGAUGUGGGGAAAGGGCCCUGAAAUCACGGUUGAUUGAAAAAAAUAAAUUACAUUAACUUUAUUUAUCACACCCACCAGCCACAUGUUAAGAUUAUUGCUGUUUGUGAGGACUAGUAAAUGCCUACUUAAGCUGUCGGUAACUAGAAAAGAACUUUCAGUGACUGAAAUGAGAAAAAAAAAAGCCACCCAAAGUCUUAUGUGUAAUUUCUAACGCUUGUAACAAAUACUUUGAAGACAGGAGACAUCCGAUUAGAAAGGUACAAAAAGUAAUAUAUUGAUCGUAUGCAGAAACUUUGAAAACUGGCAGCAAAAUGUGUUACUAAUUUUUUAUUUGAUGAUCAGAUGUGUGCUGAAAUUGAUACGUAUCAUUUGAUCAAAAGCAGCAAACUGGACUGAGCUAUGGAGGAAACAGUUCCAGGCAAUGUAGUCCUCAUUAUUCACAGAUUCCAUGUUCAUGAGUUCGACUACUCACUAAAAUUUAUUUGUAACCCUGAAAAUUAAUGCAUGCAGCAUUCAUGAAUAUUCACAGAGUAGCAAAAAAAUCUAACUUGCCUGACACAUUCUCAGCUGAGGUUAAACAAGGCUAUCCUCAGCUUUGUUUCACCUCGCAUACUAUAAUCAAAUGCGAUUUUCAUAAUAUAUAUAAUGUCAUGUUUUU